rfam:Picea glauca, whole genome shotgun sequence.
AGGUGCAAUAAUACCAGUGUUAAUGCAUCAGAUCCCAUCAGAACUCUGGGGUUAAGCGCGCUUGGGCUAGAGUAGUACUGUGAUGGGUGACCUCUUGGGAAUUCCUAGUGUUUGCUUCCU